rnacentral:rRNA from 1 species
UACGGAGGGAGCUAGCGUUGUUCGGAUAUACUGGGCGUAAAGCGCACGUAGGCGGCGCCGUAAGUCAGGGGUGAAAUCCCGGAGCUCAACUCCGGAACUGCCCUUGAAACUGCAGUGCUAGAAUCCUGGAGAGGCGAGUGGAAUUCCGGGUGUAGCGGUGAAAUGCGUAGAUAUCCGGAGGAACACCGGUGGCGAAGGCGGCUUCCUGGACCGACACUGACGCUGAGGCGCGAAAGCUAGGGGAGCAAACGGG